CAAUCCUUUUGGUCAAUCCAAAACAACAAAGCCGACGGUUCUCUCCUUCUCUUCUUCCACUCCUCCCACAAUCUCCUCCUCCUCGCUGGUUGCCGCCUUCAAUCCCCCACCGCCGCCCACACUGCCCGGAUCGCUCCUCUCUCCGCCGUGCCUUCAGCGCCUCUCCCUCAUCAAACCGCCAGCCCAUCAUGCAUCGCCGGCGCGGGUCAUCCGGUAGCGCUCCUCGUUGGAUCAACGCGCUCCUCACCUGCCCUCCGUGCUCCCCACUAGGUCAUGCUCAAUCAGAUGCCGGUAAGAUCCGGCUCCGCCGCCCCUACUGGCGCGUAGGCGUCGUCUUGGAUGCCACCGCUGCCCCAAUCGCCGAGCUCCCGCCGCCCGCCCCUACAGUCGUUGCCACCCGAAGUUAAGCCAGCCUGCAGGAGCAACGAUAGCCCGCCUCUCUUCAGUUUUUUCCCUGUGUAUUUGUCUAUCCGAUCUUCAUUUCUAUUCUUGGAUGAAUUUGAGUAGUAAUAGCACGAAUUUAUAAGUACUGAUAUUCCUGUGGUUUGUGCGUAAGAAAAUAAUGAAUCUGGAGACAUUGAUAAUCGAAUGUUACAUCGAUCUACUUUCUCAUUAUGUGACGCUGGACAACUAUAUUCAACCCGUUCAGUCCACAUGUUUGGCUUAAUCAUCAUGGAUUGUAUUUAUCUGCACGCUGGUUUUUUGCAUAUUAAUUCAGACUUUUCCUCUGUACAACCCUUAAGCUGAACUUGACAUAGGGUAAACUGUAAAGAUGUUUUAUGCUCAGUUAAGGAAAGUUUUUGCUGAAUAGAAGGUAGCAAUUUUCCACGCAUCAUCGUCUGCCCCGCGAUGUUGGUUCCCCGCGCGACAGUAACAUCUUCACACCGUGAUCUUAUCUUGUUUUGGAUGUGUUAUGUUUUGUUGAAGUUUGUUGUGAUUUCGUCUGAAACAGUUUAGUGUCCUGUUGAAAUAAAGAAUUCUACAUAAUCUGCAUUCCAGAUUCAAAGCAUGUAGGCCACGGUCUGCACUGAAUUGUGUUCGGAAAGUUCAGAUGUAGAUUGAAGUUUGACAUACUCUGAAAUUAACAUACACAUCAUUUGGCGUAUUUGGCGCUCUUCACUUUACCCUUAUGUUCUGCCUUUUGGGUUUCAAAUUCUUCUAAAAUAUGCAUUCUCAUUGGAUAUCUAUUUGUGUCUGUUGUGGUGAUAUAUUGUAGAUCAUGUUGUUUUGAACGAUUAAUGAGCAGUUCCAUGCUAUCUAUAGGAUGGUCGGAUACUUUGUGUUCAAUUCAAUUGUACCCCACAAUGUUCAAUUUUGGUACUGUAAUAUUAUUUACCUAGGUCUUACCUUUGUUGUACUUCUUAAUAAUGUGUUUUGUGCGCUCUUCAGAGACACUCAUUGCUGACUUCGCAUUAGCUGAAUCAUCAAGAGUUGCUUUCGUCUGAUAGAUUUAAGUAUUAGAUAAUUUUUGAAAAUCAGUAUUGGUUUUUCUUUGUAAAUUUGAUGUUGGGCAUUGGCGCAUUUUCCUUGAUUAAGUACAAGUUGAGCUGAAUCUAAACCGCCCGUAACAACCCUCAUGUCCCCUGGGAUAUGAGUAUAUGACACCUUUCAGAGACAUCUGUUUUUAAUCUCAACAUACAAAUCCUCUUGGUUAUAGCCCACUUGUGUGAAUUCUGCAUCCUAUCUCCUGCUUGUGCUCUUCUUAAUUUUCAAGUGUCACAGUCUGAUUUUUAAAUGACAAUUUCAGAUUGUUAGACAGUGGGAUAUUUGGGAAAGACAGUCUUUUAAAAUUCCAUGCAGACCAUCAGGACUAAAGAAAGAGAAGAAUACGAAGAAGAAAAGAAAACCAUUUCACCAUCAAAAUUCAGAAAUAAAGACAUGCGGUAGAACAUGUCCUCCAAGAGCUCACGAGGGAGUAUCCAGAUCAGCUUCAUCGCAUUUCAGGCCGAGAGGGAUUAAUUAUGAGUUCAUUUGAUUUUUUUGUCACUAGGUGCUUAUGUGGCCUUUAAUUUUUCUACACUGAAAUAAAGAAUUUCCUAUGGUUAGUACAACGACUCAGAGUAGGUCUUUUGGUAAUUUCAUGGUAGGAAGAAAUCAAUUGUAUACAUGUUAACUUUCUACCUGAAGAAUUGCAGUGUAUCUUUGAUGAA